GAAGCAGCCACCCUUGAAAGAGUGCGUAAUAGCUCACUGGUCUAGUGAUUCCGCGCCGACAAUGUAGCGGGGCUCAAGCGUACCGCCGAAGUCGUGUCAUUGCAGCAAUACGGCCAACGCCGGCUGUGAUGGGUAGGGGAGCGUCGUGUGCCGGGUGAAGCAGCCGCGGAAGCGAGUUGUGGACGGUUCACGAGUGAGAAUGCAGGCAUGAGUAGCGAUACAAACGUGAGAAACGUUUGCGCCGAUUGACUAAGGGUUCCUGGGUCAAGCUGAUCUGCCCAGGGUAAGUCGGGACCUAAGGCGAGGCCGACAGGCGUAGUCGAUGGAUAACCGGUUGAUAUUCCGGUACCCGCUGUGAAGCGUCAAACAUCGAGCAUCGUGAUGCUAAGGCCGUGAAGCCGCCCUGAUCUCUUCGGAGUUGAGGGGAGUGGUGGAGCCGCCGAACCAAGCGGUUAGUAGGUGAGUGAUGGGGUGACGCAGGAAGGUAGUCCAUCCCGGGCGGUGGUUGUCCCGGGGUAAGGGUGUAGGACGUCAGGUAGGUAAAUCCGCCUGGCAAUAGUCUGAGACCUGAUGCCGAGCCGAUUGUGGUGAAGUGGAUGAUCCUAUGCUGUCGAGAAAAGCCUCUAGCGAGUUUCAUGGCGGCCCGUACCCUAAACCGACUCAGGUGGUCAGGUAGAGAAUACCGAGGCGUUCGGGUGAACUAUGGUUAAGGAACUCGGCAAAAUGCCCCCGUAACUUCGGGAGAAGGGGGGCCACACCCGGUGACCGGAUUUACUCCGUGAGCUGGGGGUGGCCGCAGAGACCAGCGAGAAGCGACUGUUUACUAAAAACACAGGUCCGUGCGAAGCCGUAAGGCGAUGUAUACGGACUGACGCCUGCCCGGUGCUGGAACGUUAAGGGGACCGGUUAGUCACAUUUCGGUGUGGCGAAGCUGAGAACUUAAGCGCCAGUAAACGGCGGUGGUAACUAUAACCAUCCUAAGGUAGCGAAAUUCCUUGUCGGGUAAGUUCCGACCUGCACGAAUGGCGUAACGACUUCUCGACUGUCUCAACCAUAGGCCCGGUGAAAUUGCACUACGAGUAAAGAUGCUCGUUUCGCGCAGCAGGACGGAAAGACCCCGGGACCUUUACUACAGUUUGAUAUUGGUGUUCGGUUCGGCUUGUGUAGGAUAGCUGGGAGACUUUGAAGCUCGCACGCCAGUGUGGGUGGAGUCGUCGUUGAAAUACCAGUCUGGUCGUGCUGGAUGUCUAACCUGGGUCCGUGAUCCGGAUCAGGGACAGUGUCUGAUGGGUAGUUUAACUGGGGCGGUUGCCUCCUAAAGAGUAACGGAGGCGCCCAAAGGUUCCCUCAGCCUGGUUGGCAAUCAGGUGUUGAGUGUAAGUGCACAAGGGAGCUUGACUGUGAGACCGACGGGUCGAGCAGGGACGAAAGUCGGGACUAGUGAUCCGGCGGUGGCUUGUGGAAGCGCCGUCGCUCAACGGAUAAAAGGUACCCCGGGGAUAACAGGCUGAUCUUCCCCAAGAGUCCAUAUCGACGGGAUGGUUUGGCACCUCGAUGUCGGCUCGUCGCAUCCUGGGGCUGGAGUCGGUCCCAAGGGUUGGGCUGUUCGCCCAUUAAAGCGGUACGCGAGCUGGGUUUAGAACGUCGUGAGACAGUUCGGUCCCUAUCCGCUGUGCGCGUAGGAGUCUUGAGAAGGGCUGUCCCUAGUACGAGAGGACCGGGACGGACGAACCUCUGGUGUGCCAGUUGUUCUGCCAAGGGCAUGGCUGGUUGGCUACGUUCGGGAGGGAUAACCGCUGAAAGCAUCUAAGCGGGAAGCCUGCUUCGAGAUGAGGACUCCCACCCCCUUGAGGGGUUAAGGCUCCCAGUAGACGACUGGGUUGAUAGGCCGGAUCUGGAAGCACCGUGAGGUGUGGAGGUGACCGGUACUAAUAGGCCGAGGGCUUGUCCUCAGUUG
rnacentral:rRNA from 1 species